rnacentral:rRNA from 1 species
AGCUAAGGUGAGGCCGAAAGGCGUAGCCGAUGCACAGACGGUAGAGAUUCCGUCCCCACCGAAAGAUUUAAGCGCAGGGACACUUUUAGAAGGUCGGAGCCAGGUGUUGGUUCUGGUAGAGAUCGAGGGAAGAUUAGUACCGAAGUCCGGCUGGAUAAGAGGCGAGAAAAGCUGCGUGUAUAUCUAAGGUGCCCGUACCGCAAACCGACACAGGUAGGUAGGAAGAAGAUUCUAAGGCCAACGGGAGAAGGGUUGUUAAGGAACUCGGCAAAUUGACCCCGUAACUUCGGGAGAAGGGGUGCUCCAGAGAUGGAGCCGCAGAGAAUCGGCCCAAGCAACUGUUUACCAAAAACACAGGUUUGUGCUAAAUCGAAAGAUGACGUAUACGAGCUGACGCCUGCCCGGUGCUGGAAGGUUAAAAGGAGAUGUGCAAGCAUUGAAUUGAAGCCCCAGUGAACGGCGGCCGUAACUAUAACGGUCCUAAGGUAGCGAAAUUCCUUGUCAGGUAAGUUCUGACCCGCAUGAAAGGCGUAAUGAUUUGGGCACUGUCUCAACAGCCCGCCCGGCGAAAUUGUAGUACCGGUGAAGAUGCCGGUUACCCGCGACAAGACGGAAAGACCCCAUGGAGCUUUACUGUAGCCUAAUAUUGGGUUUCGAUGUUGCAUGCACAGGAUAGAUGGGACACAGGGAAACAAGUGCUUUGGCAUUUGUGGAGUGGCCGUUGGGAUACCAUCCUUGCGAUAUUGGAAUUCUAACCUGCGCCUUUGAAUCAAGGCGGGGGACAUUGUUAGGUGGGCAGUUUGACUGGGGCGGUCGCCUCCUAAAGAGUAACGGAGGCGUUCAAAGGUUCGCUCAGCUUGAACGGAAAUCAAGCAAAAGAGUGCAAACGCAGAAGCGAGCCUAACUGCGAGACUGACGGGUCGAGCAGUAACGAAAGUUGGAGUUAGUGAUCCGGUGGUAUGUGAGUGGAAAUGCCAUCGCUCAACGGAUAAAAGUUACCCUGGGGAUAACAGGCUGAUCUCCCCCAAGAGUCCACAUCGACGGGGAGGUUUGGCACCUCGAUGUCGGCUCAUCGCAUCCUGGGGCUGUAUUCGGUCCCAAGGGUUUGGCUGUUCGCCAAUUAAAGCGGUACGCGAGCUGGGUUCAGAACGUCGUGAGACAGUUCGGUCCCUAUCUGUCGUGGGCGCAGGAUAUUUGAUGGGAGCUGUCCCUAGUACGAGAGGACCGGGACGGACGUACCUCUGGCGCACCAGUUGUUCCGCCAGGAGCAUAGCUGGGCAACUACGUACGGAUCGGAUAAACGCUGAAAGCAUCUAAGCGUGAAGCCGACCCAAAGAUAAGAUGUCCCAUUGUUUUAAACAAGUAAGACCCCUUGAAGACUACAAGGUUGAUAGGCACGAUGUGUAAGUGGAGUGAUCCAUUCAGCAAGCGUGUACUAAUAGGUCGAGGGCUUGACCA